rnacentral:rRNA from 1 species
UACGAAGGGGGCUAGCGUUGUUCGGAAUUACUGGGCGUAAAGCGCGUGUAGGCGGUUAUCCAAGUCGGGUGUGAAAGCCUUGAGCUCAACUCAAGAAAUGCAUUCGGUACUGGGUGACUAGAGGACCGGAGAGGAUAGUGGAAUUCCCAGUGUAGUGGUGAAAUACGUAGAGAUUGGGAAGAACACCAGUGGCGAAGGCGGCUAUCUGGCGGUUUCUGACGCUAAGACGCGAAAGCGUGGGGAGCAAACAGG